rnacentral:rRNA from 1 species
UACGUAGGUGGCAAGCGUUGUCCGGAUUUACUGGGCGUAAAGAGCGCGCAGGCGGUCCGAUCAGCCGAAUGUGAAAGCCCCCGGCUCAACUGGGGAGGGUCAUUCGAUACUGUCGGACUCGAAGGCAGGAGAGGGAAGCGGAAUUCCCGGUGUAGUGGUGAAAUGCGUAGAUAUCGGGAGGAACACCAGUGGCGAAGGCGGCUUCCUGGCCUGUUCUUGACGCUGAGGCGCGAAAGCUAGGGGAGCAAACGGG